rnacentral:lncRNA from 1 species
GGAAGCGCGCAGCGAGCAGAGGGUGGGUGCAGGUGGCGGUCCCCGAGUCGGCCCAGUGAGGGCUGAACUGCUGCUCCCAGGAACCGAGCGGGGUGGGCUCGGUCCGACGCGCAUCAUGGCCGAGUGCCUAGGCCUGACUCUGAGCGCAGGCCUAGCGUGGAUGGCAUGGGCGCUACACAGCUCCAAGUUACGCGAUUCAAACUCUUGGAAUAAACCCAGGGCAGCCCUGGGGCUGUGUUGAUUCCUUGUCUCCCUCCCUCCCAGCAUUUACAGAAAAGACGCAUUUAUAGGAAAGACGCACGGGCAGGUCCAGCAGAGCCCUUACAAGCAUUUCAACCUUUUAGAAAUCAGAUAAGACCCUCUAAACAUCGUUACAUGGGCCACAGUUACAUUAAGACAGGCGUUCUGACGUUCUGAAACCGCCUUUGCAAAAAAUUGUAUCGGUGAGAGAAGGUUGGCCUUGAAGGAGAUCUGGCCAACCCCCAUCUUGCCUUUGGCCUUAAAACUGCCCUUAAUUAUUCCUGGAUAAGCAAAGGUAACUUUGGGAGACAUUUAUAGUUUAAGUGAUAGCAGCCCUUCCUCAAAACUAAACAGCCUUUGUAAAGCUAAUGAGACCACUGAAACCGCCUUUGCAAAAAUCAUAACUGAAGAAAUUAUGACAGGGGAAGAUCUCCUCACCCACCCCAUCUUCCUGCUAUCCUCUAAGCUGCUUUUGUUCAUUCCUGGGUGUAGACCAGACUAGCCUUGGGAAGGAAUUUAGUUUAUAGAUUAAACUGAAACAAAAUUGAUAAUAGCCCUUUCCCAAAAAAACCCUUCUUGCCUGGGGACCAGUCUGCCUUUGUAGGACUAACAAAUUAAGCUACGAGAUUAAAAAUUACAGUUUAGGGGCCAUGCAACCUCUGGCGGCAAGAGUCUGAACCUCCCCAAAUUGCUUCUGGGAAUAACAUCACUGUUGCAAAACUUAAGGUCAGUGCUUGAAAUAUUUUGUAGACCCUGCAUUCAGAUGCAGCAGAUGACACCACCCAAACGGAUAAUCUGGCUCAACCAUGUGUGUGAUCCCACCCAGGGACAGAAGUCAGCCAGAACUCAUUUUGACCCCCUAUGAUUUAAUCUUCGACCUGACCAAUCAGCACUCACCACUUUCUGAGCCCAUACCCGCCAAAUUAUCCUUAAAAACACGGAUCCCCGAAUGCUUGGGGAGACUGAUUUGAGUGAUAAU